CGCCUGUCCGCGUCUCCAGUGGGCGUGGGGGCCUGGAAAGCUUCGUCUGCCUCUGGGUCUGUCGUCGGCCCUGAUUCAGGCCCCUGACUUAGCUCGGGCGCCCCCCGCGGGCCCUCGCCGGUCGGCCGGGCCGUGCCCCGUGCCUACCGUCGGGCGGUGACGGGACCGCUUUGAGCCUCGUGGGAGCCCCUGCCGGAUUGGCUGCAAACGGCUCCGCUGCGGAACUCAGGUUCCAGACAAGAAGCUCCAGCUGCUGCUCUCCUCUCUCUGCUUGCUGUCACCCCGCGCAAAGGAGUGAGCUGGUGUCAGCAGAAGAGGAAGGUGUCUGAAAUAAAGUAGCAGGAGAAGGUCUCUGGGAUAAAGAAGUGAAUCCAAGGGACCCACAGGGAGUGGAGUGAACUACUGGAUUGGAGCUGUUCUCAUAAAACGCUGAUGAUGACAACCUGGGAAAAUAAAGAAGUACCUCUGAGAAGAGGAACAGAGUGGCAGGAAGCCUAGUACUGUCUGUUUUCAACUAUGCUUUGCAGUGUGUCCAGCAAGUCCAAGCCAGUCCACAGCAAUGGCUCUAGUGGUUAUGGAAGUCUUGGUAGCAGUGGAUCUUAUGAACACUAUAUCAGCAUAGCAUCUUCCAGUGACUCCAAUGGAAAUUGUGUAGAAGAAAUAUGAAAACCAGAUGACUCUGUAGCAGGUCUGUGCCAACAUCAAUCAAAUAAAGAAUUUGGGGCAGCAGUUGUGUAUUGAGUUCUGGAGCAAAUGGCAAAAUAGAAAAGACCGGGUCCCUGGUGCUGAACUGCUGGGA